UUGCUCAUUUGGUCCUGCUAGCUUGACAGAGGUUGGAAUAUUCCAUCUGCGACUUGCUCUCUUUGGCGAAAGGAUAUUUCUUGAUGCAUUCGACUUUAUUUGAUAAUCUAACGAGUUUGUAUGAAAAUGUCUUAGAAGUAUGGGAGAACAUACAGAGGAAUGCCAUUGAAAUGCAUGCUCAAGAUAAAAUUAUACUGAGUCCUGCGGAUAGUUGGUUACAUUUGUAGACUCGACGCAAUUAGAAACAUAUCUAAAUCACGGUAGGACAAAGGAUAAAAAAUUUGAUCAAGAUCUUAUGAUUCUGCGAUAAAGAAUGCGAUGUUUUCCUCCAAAAAUGCACUCCAUCAACGUUGCCAAACCAGCAACGUUGAUGGAGUGCAUUUCUUAGGGUAUGAUUUCUGGAGUAGAAUAUCUGUCAGAAGGGAAUAGAGUCAAUUAUGAUAAAUAUACUAAUCAUGAUUUAUUCUAACCAUGUUUUAAUCUGAAACUGUACAUAAUAAAAUUCCCAUUAUGCAAAAUACCUUGUACCAUACAAAAAAACCUAUUUGUAAUACAGGUAAAAUUAUAUUGUUACUGCAAAGAGCUAUUGUUACAAUUGUAUAAUCAAUAAAUCUUCCAUUUAAUUAAAAAAAUUGACUUCUAGUUAAUUUUAGCCGACUGUUUCGUACAUUUACCCCGAGAAUUUUAAGGUCGCUAUUUAAAAUCAGGCGUUGAAGCCAAUCCGUUGCUAUAUCGUUCGACGUCUUACAAAGUUAACGGCAUUACAUAGUAAAUAAUUAGUUAAUUCACGUUGAAAUACAUUAAGCAUUUGCCAUUUCAAAAAAGAAGAAAAGACAACGGUUUGUAACCUCGUUACUAUUCAAAUUAUUAUACAUUUAUUACUUAUAAUAUGUACUUAAUGCUAUCGAUCAAAGCACUUAUCACGCAGUUAGAACCAUUGAUACAUAUUGCACAAUUGUACUUUUCAUUACUCGGCUGUAUCACUGUUCUUCAUACAAAUAUAUAUAUAUAUUAACAAAUAAGAUGUUAUUAUCGCGGCCAUAGACAUAAGUUAAGAAUCCUGCUAUUUAUAUAUGUAUUAUUUUCUCACUUUUGUAACUAUCUCUCCUAAGUAUCAGACUCUCUUACGUAUCAAUAAGCUUUGUACAUUUCUAUUAGAAUAAUGAGAGAUACGGACGUUUGUUGUAGUGUAAAGAUUAUCCAAAUUAUUACACAUUUAUUACUUAAAAUAUGUACUUAAUGUUAUCGUUCAAAGUACUUCUAUCACGCAGUUAGAACCAUUGAUACAUAUUGCACAAUUGUACUUUUCAUUAUUCGGCUGUAUCACUGUUUUUCAUACAUACAUAUAUAUAUAUAUAU